UACGUAGGGUGCAGCGUUAUCGGAUUACUGGGCGUAAAGUGUGCGCAGGCGCAAAAGCAAGUCGAGUGUGAAAGCCCCCGGGCUUAACUUGGGGAAUUGCGCUCGAAACUACUUUGCUGGAGUGUGGCAGAGGAAGGUGGAAUUCCACGUGUAGCGGUGAAAUGCGUAGAGAUGUGGAGGAACACCAAUGGCGAAGGCAGCCUUCUGGGCCAACACUGAACCGCUCAUGCACGAAAAGCGUGGGGAGCAAACAGG
rnacentral:rRNA from 1 species